AGCGAACGCUGGCGGCAGGCUUAACACAUGCAAGUCGAGCGGGCACUUUCGGGUGUCAGCGGCGGACGGGUGAGUAACGCGUGGGAACGUGCCCUCUGGUUCGGAAUAACUCAGGGAAACUUGAGCUAAUACCGGAUACGCCCUUUUGGGGAAAGGCUUGCUGCCGGAGGAUCGGCCCGCGUCUGAUUAGCUAGUUGGUGAGGUUACGGCUCACCAAGGCGACGAUCAGUAGCUGGUCUGAGAGGAAGAUCAGCCACACUGGGACUGAGACACGGCCGAGACUCCUACGGGAGGCAGCAGUGGGGAAUAUUGGACAAUGGGCGCAGGGCUGAACCACCCAGGGCGGGUGAGUGAUGAAGGCCUGAGGGAUGUAAAGCUCUUUUAUCCGGGACGAUAAUGACGGUACCGGAGGAAUAAGCCCCGGCUAACUUCGUG
rnacentral:rRNA from 1 species